rnacentral:rRNA from 1 species
CAAUAGCGUAUAUUAAAGUUGUUGCGGUUAAAAAAGCUCGUAGUUGGAUUUCUGUCGAAGACAUCCGGUCCGCACUUUGUGCGUGUAUCUGGUUUGGCUUUGGCAUCCUCGUGGGGAACGUCACUGCGCUUGAUUGCGUGGUACGGUAUUCACGACUUUUACUUUGAGGAAAUUAGAGUGUUCACGGCAGGCAAGCGCCUUGAAUAUAUUAGCAUGGAAUAAUAAUAUAGGACUUUGGUUCUAUUUUGUUGGUUUCUAGGACUAAAGUAAUGAUUAAUAGGGAUAAUUGGGGGCAUUUGUAUUAACGCGUCAGAGGUGGAAUUCUUGGAUUGCGUUACGACAAACUACUGCGAAAGCAUUUGCCAAGGAUGUUUUCAUUGAUCAAGAACGAAAGUAUGGGGAUCGAAGAUGAUUAGAU